rnacentral:rRNA from 1 species
GACGAACGCUGGCGGCGUGCUUAACACAUGCAAGUCGAGCGGUAAGGCCCUUUCGGGGGUACACGAGCGGCGAACGGGUGAGUAACACGUGGGCGACCUGCCCUCAGCUCUGGGAUAAGCCCGGGAAACUGGGUCUAAUACCGGAUAUGACCACAUGUCGCAUGGUGUGUGGUGGAAAGUUUUUUCGGCUGGGGAUGGGCCCGCGGCCUAUCAGCUUGUUGGUGGGGUGAUGGCCUACCAAGGCGACGACGGGUAGCCGGCCUGAGAGGGCGACCGGCCACACUGGGACUGAGAUACGGCCCAGACUCCUACGGGAGGCAGCAGUGGGGAAUAUUGCGCAAUGGGCGGAAGCCUGACGCAGCGACGCCGCGUGGGGAUGAC